AGGGAAGGGAAGGAGAGAGACAACUUGAAUCUUGUGACUUCAUAAAACUCAUGUAUAAAAUUGUUAUUGUGUGUAAUUGGUAAAAUAACAUAUUUUUUAAAAUAAGUAAAAUAUGAAGAAAGUAGAAAAAAUACUUUUCCAGAAUACUGAGCGAUUAAAUGAUUUGCUGAAGGCCUCAUAGCCAGGAUGUGUCAGAGGCAGUCCUGCAACCCAAGUCUGUCUGAUCUGGUGCUAGCUCUUUAUUCACUAUACCAUACUCACCUUGCACAGAGUAAGCGAUUCAUAAACAUUGACUGAAUUGAAUUAUUUGAAACUCCUUAAGCAGCAGACACACAAUAAUUAGCAAGAUACCAUUUUGUGCUAAAUAAGAUUAUAGAUGAAUAGAUUUAGAUUUCGAAGAGGGCUUUAUUUGGAAUCUAACUCAAUCCCUUCAUUUUACAGAUGAGGGAGCUGAAACCAAAGGACUUGCACAAGGUCACUCAGAGAGUAAGCAUUAGAGAUUCCUUCAAAGGACUCUGUUGCUUUGGACUUAAAGAACAGAGAAUAUGGGAAAUGUUGGAACCAAUGGACAACGUACAAAGCAGCAAGAAGCCUCUUUAAAUAGUUCACAUGCAUCAGUUUCGUUGUCUUAUUCAAAGAACUCUAAUAUAUCAAGGCUUGGAGUAGCCAGUGCUGGGACCUGAAGCCUUUAUGUUACACACAAGCUGGUGAAUUGCACAACCAGGAAUGGGAAAAUUGUCUUCCAUAGGCACACAGUCAAUUACUUUUCAGAUGGAAGUAAGGAUCUAGUUGGGGACAUCAUCAAGUUCCCUUCCUUUUUCUUAUAUGAAUAUUUCAAAAAGUAAAGCAGUUGUGGUUUCAUAUAUCUACAUGGCCCUUUCAUCCGUACAGAUUGAGUUUUUCUAGACCUUGGUGGGAUUGUAGGUUUAGGAGAUUAAGUAGAUUAAGGAAGGGACCUUAGAGGCCAUCUAGUUCAAUUCCUUCAUUUUACAGAGGAGGAAACUGAAGCCCACAGACAUUAAGUGACUUGCCCAGGUCACCUAGCCCGUUAGCAGCAGAAUCAGGACAGCAGACAAAAUAAUUACCAUUUAGUGAUGGACCUAUUGUUUGAACAAUGGGUUUAUGUUCAUUGAUAUUGAGGGAGAAGCUUUCGUUUACUUCUCGAUUUCCUUUUUCCUCAAUCAAGAUUUAAUCCGUUUUGAGAGCAAAUCCCUGAGGUGAGAAAGAAGACACCCCAAACCUCGGGAUUCUUCCUCCUCUCUGGGGGUGGGGGGAGGAACCAGCAAAAGUGGAGAUGGGCGGACAAUCAUCACGAAGGAGCCUAGUCAGUAAUUCUUGCUAGCAGCACCUUUCACCACCUUUUAUUGCUGCUGUUCAGAACCCAUGACUGCCAAGCUUUGUUUCCAGAGCCAUGUUUUCCAGGAAGUGAAGAAUCCCAAAGGUGGGCAGUCCAUGUGCCUACUGCCAAGCUGGCUCGGGAGGCUUUCAGCUGAAGGAUUUAUAAGGCAAGAAUGCAUUGCUCAUUAGCCUUAUUUGUAGCACACCUGUGCACUUUUCAAAAGCUUGUAGCUGGGCCACACCGAUGCCUUAGGAAGCAACAUUUUCC
ensembl:lncRNA